GCCAAAUUUACUUGAAAAAGUAAAAGUAAGGAGUAAGGGAGACACUGGCUCUGUAGUGUGAGCUUGGGCUGAGUAAAGGAGGAAAAACCAGAGUUCACCCUGGAGAAUUUGAAGCAGACUAUCAUGAGGAAAGCCAGAACAGCAAGCUCUUCCUGGCAUCUCUUCCUAGCGUCCGUGUCCUUUACCAUCCAAAGCUCUAGGAAACCCAAGAGAACUUACGUCUGAGUCCUGAGAGGCGGUGCAAGGAUCCCAUGCCUCAGGCUGACGUCAGGUCUGGGGCAGCCUAUUGGAAACCUGCUCAAGUUCUCGCGAGAAGUCCAUGUGCGGGCUUCGGGAUCUGCUCUGCAGUGUCCUGGGAUCUUAUAAUUGACAGGUCGGGACUGCUUUUCCAGCCAGUUUUGCCCCGCCCUAAUUUCCUAGGGCAGGCUUGCCUUGAACUCACUUUGGUGGAUCCUGGGGGCUUCAUAAGAGGGAGAGAAAGGGGAGCCCACCAGCCAGAGGUGUUCACUGCACCAGGCUCUUGCUGUGUAACACCAGGACCUGACCUGACAGGAGGAACGACGUAGCACGGGAACCUCUGAACUUGGAGCUCCAAAAUAGUGAGUUAAAUCAGUUUCUUCUUUGUAAAGCCAGCCACCUGGGACAUCUUGUUUGUUAUAUUAUGUGAACUGAACACAUAUACCCGUCCUCUUGUAACUCUGCCUUUGUUACUUGUUAUAGCAAUGUGCUAAUUACAAUCAAUGUGCCAGUAUAGAUAGACACUUCUAGCUCAAGUCAAUAGGACUCGGAGUCUCUUGUGUUUUGGGGAUUACUGGGGAUUAAACAGACGACCA
rnacentral:lncRNA from 1 species